rnacentral:tRNA from 1 species
GGGGAUGUAGCUCAGCGGUAGAGCGCGUGCUUCGCAUGUACGAGGCCCCGGGUUCGAGCCCCGGCAUCUCCA